rnacentral:rRNA from 1 species
CCUACGGGAGGCAGCAGUGGGGAAUAUUGCACAAUGGGCGCAAGCCUGAUGCAGCAACGCCGCGUGCGGGAUGACGGCCUUCGGGUUGUAAACCGCUUUCGCCUGUGACGAAGCGUGAGUGACGGUAAUGGGUAAAGAAGCACCGGCUAACUACGUGCCAGCAGCCGCGGUGAUACGUAGGGUGCGAGCGUUGUCCGGAUUUAUUGGGCGUAAAGGGCUCGUAGGUGGUUGAUCGCGUCGGAAGUGUAAUCUUGGGGCUUAACCCUGAGCGUGCUUUCGAUACGGGUUGACUUGAGGAAGGUAGGGGAGAAUGGAAUUCCUGGUGGAGCGGUGGAAUGCGCAGAUAUCAGGAGGAACACCAGUGGCGAAGGCGGUUCUCUGGGCCUUUCCUGACGCUGAGGAGCGAAAGCGUGGGGAGCGAACAGGCUUAGAUACCCUGGUAGUCCACGCUGUAAACGGUGGGUACUAGGUGUGGGGUCCAUUCCACGGGUUCCGCGCCGUAGCUAACGCUUUAAGUACCCCGCCUGGGGAGUACGGCCGCAAGGCUAAAACUCAAAGGAAUUGACGGGGCCCCGCACAAGCGGCGGAGCAUGCGGAUUAAUUCGAUGCAACGCGUAGAACCUUACCUGGGUUUGACAUGGAUCGGGAGUGCUCAGAGAUGGGUGUGCCUCUUUUGGGGUCGGUUCACAGGUGGUGCAUGGCUGUCGUCAGCUCGUGUCGUGAGAUGUUGGGUUAAGUCCCGCAAC